rnacentral:rRNA from 1 species
GAUGAACGCUGGCGGCGUGCCUAAUACAUGCAAGUCGAGCGAACGGACGAGAAGCUUGCUUUUCUGAUGUUAGCGGCGGACGGGUGAGUAACACGUGGAUAACCUACCUAUAAGACUGGGAUAACUUCGGGAAACCGGAGCUAAUACCGGAUAAUAUUUUGAACCGCAUGGUUCAAAAGUGAAAGACGGUCUUGCUGUCACUUAUAGAUGGAUCCGCGCUGCAUUAGCUAGUUGGUAAGGUAACGGCUUACCAAGGCAACGAUGCAUAGCCGACCUGAGAGGGCGAUCGGCCACACGGGAAAGAGGAUGCGCACCAACACCCGAAGGGAGACAGGAGUAGGAAAUCUACGGGAGGGGGCAAAAGCGAAAAGUGGACACGGGGCGAAAGUCAGAACGGGCUAUGGCUCGUAAAACUUUUUUAUUAGAGAAAAAAAAAUGUGUAGGAAACGGGGCAAUUAUGACAGGACCCAAAGAAGAAGCCCCGGCUAAACCCGUG